CUCCCAGCCCUGCGCCGCCUGUGCCUCCGAGCCCCGCGCCACCAUCUCCGGAGCCGCCUAGCCCUGCGCCUCCCUCGCCGGAGCCUCCCAGCCCUGCGCCGCCUGUGCCUCCGAGCCCCGCGCCGCCUUCGCCGGAGCCACCUAGCCCUGCGCCUCCCUCGCCGGAGCCUCCCAGCCCUGCGCCGCCUGUGCCUCCGAGCCCCGCGCCGCCUUCUCCGGAGCCGCCUAGCCCUGCGCCUCCGUCGCCGGAGCCUCCCAGCCCUGCGCCGCCUGUGCCUCCGAGCCCCGCGCCGCCUUCUCCGGAGCCACCUAGCCCUGCGCCACCGUCGCCGGAGCCUCCCAGCCCUGCGCCGCCUGUGCCUCCGAGCCCCGCGCCGCCUUCUCCGGAGCCACCUAGCCCUGCGCCACCGUCGCCGGAGCCUCCCAGCCCUGCGCCGCCUGUGCCUCCGAGCCCCGCGCCGCCUUCUC
rnacentral:lncRNA from 1 species